AUUGAACGCUGGCGGAAUGCUUUACACAUGCAAGUCGAACGGCAGCACGGACUUCGGUCUGGUGGCGAGUGGCGAACGGGUGAGUAAUGUAUCGGAACGUGCCCAGUCGUGGGGGAUAACGUAGUGAAAAUUACGCUAAUACCGCAUACGAUCUAUGGAUGAAAGCGGGGGAUCGCAAGACCUCGCGCGAUUGGAGCGGCCGAUAUCAGAUUAGGUAGUUGGUGGGGUAAAGGCCCACCAAGCCAACGAUCUGUAGCUGGUCUGAGAGGACGACCAGCCCCACUGGAACUGAGACACGGUCCAGACUCCUACGGGAGGCAGCAGUGGGGAAUUUUGGACAAUGGGCGAAAGCCUGAUCCAGCCAUUCCGCGUGCAGGAUGAAGGCCCUCGGGUUGUAAACUGCUUUUGUACAGAACGAAAAGGUUUCUACUAAUACUAGGAGCUCAUGACGGUACUGUAAGAAUAAGCACCGGCUAACUACGUGCCAGCCGCCGCGGUAAAAC
rnacentral:rRNA from 1 species